GUGGAGGAAGGGAGAUGAACACAACAGUAGCAGGGGCCUGGAAGGAACAAGAACAGUAGGAGGAGACAGGUAGGGUGGGUCUACUUCUGAGGAAGUGGCCCUGUCUGAGGUGGAGCUGCAGAGAGUGGUUGGAGCCCAUGGAUUUUACAGAGAGAAGUUUUAAAGGCUGCCAAGAAUGUGCACAUGAGGUAAAAAUACAGGAAGGGAGUGUGGCCUGGAGCUCCAGGCCAGUCAGAGGGUGGGCUGAGCCUUCCUAUGGUGUCCACAAGUGCAGAGAGGGAGGAAAAGACAGGGCUCUGAGACUAGGGAGGGGAAAAAGAAAGAGAAACUAGGUUUGUUAUGGGAAGUUGGGCUGUGGUUUCAUAUUUGGAAGUGCCUGUGUGUGAUGUGUGUUAAGUGUUGGGUUUGGUAACAGGUUGAGGAAGAACUAGAAAUUUGCAACUUCUGUAAAGUCUUUUGUUCCCUAUUAAAAACCCUCUGUGCAUAUCAAAUGAGAUUAAUCCAUGAAUUCAUGUAAUAAACACUGAGCUGCUACCAAGUCCUGGGCAAUGUUGUUUGCACUGGAGAUACAAACAGUGAACAAAUGAGGUGAGUGAAUGGACUCAGGGAGUCAGAGGCAUGAUAGAAAGGGAAAGAGAAAGUAUGAAGGAGGAGGGAGUGGGCGAGUGGAUGACAGAGGCAGAACAGGCUUUUCUCUGCAGUGGAUGAUGUGAGGUUUUCAGUAUUCUUGUCACCUGCCAGGGGAGGCUUGUCCAGCUCCCACCCUCCAGCCACCUGGCCUGAGAAGCAGCUUUGAAGCAUAUGUUCUCCACUCUCCUCCUGCUUGGAGCCCUCCCCUCUUUCCUUCCUUCCUCUUCCUCUCCCCAGGUCUUCCUUCACCCUAGAGCUUGGGAGGACCAAGGCUGGAGCAGACAGUGACUGUGGCUUUCUUCUCUUGUUUCCAUCUUUUCUUCCUUGCCUUUGGACCCAAUUCAAAAAACAAAGAUGAAUAGAAACCUACUCUGGGCCUGGAAUCAUGCAGGAGAUAUAAGAUGAGCGACUUUGUGACUAAAGGCAAUUCUCCAGCAAGGGGGCAUCUAGGAGCCAUUAGCAGCCGAUACACAUAGCAGCUGGGCAAGGGGAGUGCCCGCUAGUGAAGGGGAUCUAUGUGAGGCACCAACAGCACCCAUAAGAGCAAGGAAGUGGAAUAGCAGAUAAUCUCACCCCCUGCUCGAAGGAGUGCAAAUUGGUAUGACUUUGGAGAGCAAUUUGGUAAUAUCUGAUAGAGUGGAAGACGCACAUGCCCUAUAACCAGCAAUUCCACUUCCAGCCAUAAACCCUAGAGAAACGUUUGCACGUCCACAAGGAGAUGAGUACAAGAAUGUUUGUUGCAGCAUAGCUUGAAAUAGCAAAAAUUAAAAAAAAAUGAAAUGUCCAUCUCACAAGAAGUUGGAUACAGUCACACAAUGUAGUAGGUAAAAUGAAGAAGAGUUAUAAGUAUCAUCAGAAUGAAAAAACAUGCUACAGAAUGAUAUGUAUAAUGUUGGUAUUUAUAUAGUUUAAAAACAUGCAAAAUAAUAUGAUGUAGUAUUUACACAUGUAUAUAUAUGUGUGUAUAUAUAUAUAUGCUUGGGAACGCUAAUACUCAGUGUGAGAGUCAAUAUAGGGUAGAGGGACUUGCAGCCAGAUUGCUUGGAUAUGCGUCCUAGUUCCAUCUCUUGCUAGUUAUGUAAUCUUGGAAAAGUUAAUUAACCUCUGCAGGUCUCCCUUUUAUGUGUAAAAUGAUAAAUAAUUGUUUUAGUGAGCAAUUGCUGCUCUAAUGCUGUGUAACAAACAACCCCUCAGCCCCGUGCUUUACAAGCAUAAAUAUUUAUUUUUCAUUCAUAAGUCUAUCAGUUGGCUAUGGCUCUGCUGGGCUUGGCUCUAGGCUGUGGCUUGGGUUCAGGUCUGCUCCACUAGUCUCCCCCAGCAACUAUCCAGGAUGUGUUCUUUCCAUGGCAAAGGUCACAAGCAGAAGAGAGGCAACUGAAAACACAUGAUGCCUUGUUAAGUCUUUGGCUCGGAACUGGCGUGUUGUUUCCACCCACAUUCUGUUCGCCAGAGCAAGUCACAAGGCUGAAAUGAGUGGUGUGGGGGAAGCUCACUCCACCCACAGAGAAGCAGAGCAAAGACACAGGGAGAAGGAAGAACUGUGAGCAAAUAAUAGCACAGUGGUGCCUACUCCCUGCAGUUGUUUGGAGGAUUAAAUAAGUUAAUAUACAUAAAGGGCUUAGGGCAAGGCCUGGCAAAUAGUAGGAGCUAUAUUUUUAUUAAUCAGGAGAACAACAAACUCUGGGAGAAAGGAGGGAUUUAACUCUGUCAAAUUUCCUUCCUUUUUUUUUUAGAGAUAAUAAAUAAAAAGAGGGAAAGUGUUUGUUUUCAGGAGAUAGCUUUUGAGAUGGGUAGGAAGUGGCUAGUUCCAGAGGGCGUUGUUGGGGAGGGACAGACAUUCCCAGCGGGUGGACGUGUGAAGUCUUGGGAGUGAACGAACUUAUUCUGGGCGAGAGUCUUGCAGAGAGAGGAGGGCUGCAGACAGGACCUCAGAGAGCACUGGCAUUUAGGCAACAGAAGGAUGAAAGACUCGAUUGUAGACUCCAGGAGGCAGCGACUGUGUGGUCUUGCUCAUCUCAGGUUUCCCAGCAUCGUGCCUGGCGUGUGAUAAAUGCUCCUGAGGUGCGUGGGGAAGGAAGGAAGAAGCAGUGAAGGAGACAGAGGUCAGAGAGAAUCAAAGAAAACUGAGGGACAAUCACCCUGAAAGCUGGAGGAGGAGAUUGUUAAAGGGGGGUGGACAGCUACCUUGUGAACUGGUCUGCAUUGGCCACUCUCCCACUCUGGAUCCAGCCUUGCUGUCUGGGUGUGGCGUUCCAGGAUAGAUGGGACAGACUCUAUUUCAUUUGCAUCCCUCCUCCUCAGGUCCCCACUGCGAGGAGGAACGUGCAGAGGCCCAGAUGGGAAGGAGGCCUGGGACAGCUGAGGCUCUCUGGGACCUGGACCUCUUUGUUGCUCCUGCUUUGGCCUGAAAAGCUCCCCUGAGCCUUCAGGAAGGGCAUGCAGCCAAAGGCCCAUCGAGAAGGAAUGGUAGCUCCCAGUCAUUGAGGACUUACCUUGUGUUGGAGGCCUUGUGUGUACUUCCCAACACACCUGUAUGGUAAGUGUUAUGCUUGUUUCACAGAUGUGUCAACUGGAUCUUGCCCAACGUGACAGCCAAUGUUGAUGCCCCACCUAGAUCUCUUUUUCCAGCCAGUGAGCUCUCCCCUAGGUGCUCCAGUGCUAUAUAGUUCAAAGCUUGCAUCUGAGACCUUCUCUGGAGGAUUGCCUGUGGCUGACACCCUUGUCCGGAACCUCUUGGGAACUUGCAUCCCCUUUCCCUUCCCCUACCCCCUAUUUUCUAGGUGUGGACGAUGACUGAUUGACACAGGGGGACAAAGCCUGGCCUGCCUACCUCAAGGGGGGACAACUCUGGACCAUUCACCCCCCAGAGUUCCCCAUGGGAUCAGGCUGAGGUUAGACUCUGCUCAGACUCCAUCCUUGUGGAGCAUCUUCCCCGCCCUGUCCUGCUUCCCUCCUUCCCCUUCUCCUGAGAUCAUUUCCUCAGUAAACAUGUGCUCAAGAA